GGGGAAUAUUGGACAAUGGGGGCAAGCCUGAUCCAGCAAUGCCGCGUGUGUGAAGAAGGCCUUCGGGUUGUAAAGCACUUUCAAUAGGGAGGAAAAG
rnacentral:rRNA from 1 species